rnacentral:rRNA from 1 species
UACGUAGGGUCCAAGCGUUAUCCGGAAUCACUGGGCGUAAAGCGUGCGUAGACGGUCAUGUAAGUCGGAUGUGAAAGCCCCGGGCUCAACCUGGGAAUUGCAUUCGAGACUGCAUGGCUUGGGUGCGGAAGAGGGAAGCGGAAUUUCCGGUGUAGCGGUGAAAUGCGUAGAUAUCGGAAGGAACACCAGUGGCGAAAGCGGCUUCCUGGUCCGACACCGACGUUCAGGCACGAAAGCGUGGGGAGCAAACAGG